rnacentral:rRNA from 1 species
CAGCCGCCGCGGUAAUACGAACCGUGCGAACGUUAUUCGGAAUUACUGGGCUUAAAGCGCGUGUAGGCGGGCCGCCGCGUCGGUUGCUGAAAUCCCCCGGCUCAACCGGGGAAGUGGCAUCGAUACGAGCGGCCUUGAGGGGGGUAGGGGGAUCUGGAACUUCCGGUGGAGCGGUGAAAUGCGUUGAGAUCGGAAGGAACGCCCGUGGCGAAAGCGAGGUCCUGGACCCUUUCUGACGCUGAGACGCGAAAGCCAGGGGAGCGAACGGGAUUAGAUACCCCAGUAGUCCCUGUCUCUUAUA